rnacentral:misc_RNA from 1 species
AACGUAGGGGGCGAGCGUUGCCCGGAUUCACUGGGCGUAAAGCGGGUGUAGGCGGUUCCUUAAGUCGGUUGUGAAAUCCCACGGCUCAACCGUGGAAUUGCGUCCGAUACUGGGGAACUUGAGGACGGUAGAGGUCGGUGGAAUUCCCGGUGUACCGGUGAAAUGGGCAGAUAUCGGGAGGAACACCAGUGGCGAAGGCGGCCGACUGGGCCGAUCCUGACGCUGAGACCCGAAAGCCAGGGUAGCGAACCGG